rnacentral:SRP_RNA from 1 species
GCCAGGCAUGGUGACACGCACCCGUAGUUCCAGUGUCUCCGGAGGCUGAGGCAGGAGGAUUGCUUGAGCCCAGAGGUUCUGGGCUGUAGUGCACUAUGCUUGUGAGGUUUCUUCAUCUUCACCAAGUUUGGCAUCAGUAUGGUGACCUCCUGGAGCAGGAGACUACCAGGUGAACUGGCCGAGGUUGGAAACAGCAGGUCCAAACUCCAGUGCUGAUCAGUAGUGAAUUGUGCCUAUGAAUAGCCAUUGCACUCCAGGCUUAGCAACCUAGCAGGACUCAAUCUCU